rnacentral:rRNA from 1 species
GCGUUAUCCGGAUUUACUGGGCGUAAAGCGUGUGUAGGCGGUUCGGAAAGAAAGAUGUGAAAUCCCAGGGCUCAACCUUGGAACUGCAUUUUUAACUGCCGAGCUAGAGUAUGUCAGAGGGGGGUAGAAUUCCACGUGUAGCAGUGAAAUGCGUAGAUAUGUGGAGGAAUACCGAUGGCGAAGGCAGCCCCCUGGGAUAAUACUGACGCUCAGACACGAAAGCGUGGGGAGC